UACAGAGGGUGCAAGCGUUAAUCGGAGUUACUGGGCGUAAAGGGCGCGUAGGCGGCUUUGUAAGUUAGGUGUGAAAUCCCUGGGCUUAACCUAGGAACUGCACCUAAGACUGCGAGGCUGGAGUACAGUAGAGGGCAGUGGAAUUUCCGGUGUAGCGGUGAAAUGCGUAGAGAUCGGAAGGAACACCAGUGGCGAAGGCGGCUGCCUGGACUGAUACUGACGCUGAGGCGCGAAAGCGUGGGGAGCAAACAGG
rnacentral:rRNA from 1 species